AUACGUAGGGUGCGAGCGUUGUCCGGAAUUACUGGGCGUAAAGAGCUCGUAGGUGGUUUGUCGCGUCGUCUGUGAAAUUCCGGGGCUUAACUCCGGGCGUGCAGGCGAUACGGGCAUAACUUGAGUACUGUAGGGGAGACUGGGAUUCCUGGUGUAGCGGUGAAAUGCGCAGAUAUCAGGAGGAACACCGGUGGCGAAGGCGGGUCUCUGGGCAGUAACUGACGCUGAGGAGCGAAAGCAUGGGUAGCGAACAGGAUUAGAUACCCUGGUAGUCCAUGCCGUAAACGGUGGGCGCUAGGUGUAGGGGUCUUCCACGACUCCUGUGCCGUAGCUAACGCAUUAAGCGCCCCGCCUGGGGAGUACGGCCGCAAGGCUAAAACUCAAAUGAAUUGACGGGG
rnacentral:rRNA from 1 species